rnacentral:rRNA from 1 species
GCUCAGCCGUCAACAAAAACAGUACAUACACAAGACUGUUCGCCAGAGAACUACAAGGAAACACUAGAAACUCCAAGGACUUGGCGGUGCUCCACAUCAACCUAGAGGAGCCUGUCCUAUAAUCGAUACCCCCCGAUCUACCCCACCACCUCUUGAAACUCAGCCUAUAUACCGCCGUCGUCAGCCUACCCUGUGAGAGAAAGAAAGUAAGCAAAACAGUUAUCAACUAAAACGUCAGGUCAAGGUGUAGCUUAUGAGGUGGAAGAGAUGGGCUACACUCUCUCCCCCAGAGAACACGAAUAGCAAAAUGAAAUCCUGCUUAAAGGUGGAUUUAGCAGUAAGAUAGACAAGAACACCAAUCUUAAACUCGCCCUGGAGCGCGCACAC